rnacentral:tmRNA from 2 species
GGGGCUGAUUCUGGAUUCGACGGGAUUUGCGAAACCCAAGGUGCAUGCCGAGGGGCGGUUGGCCUCGUAAAAAGCCGCAAAAAAAUAGUCGCAAACGACGAAACCUACGCUUUAGCAGCUUAAUAACCUGCUUAGAGCCCUCUCUCCCUAGCCUCCGCUCUUAGGACGGGGAUCAAGAGAGGUCAAACCCAAAAGAGAUCGCGCGGAUGCCCUGCCUGGGGUUGAAGCGUUAAAACGAAUCAGGCUAGUCUGGUAGUGGCGUGUCCGUCCGCAGGUGCCGGGCGAAUGUAAAGACUGACUAAGCAUGUAGUACCGAGGAUGUAGGAAUUUCGGACGCGGGUUCAACUCCCGCCAGCUCCACCA